rnacentral:lncRNA from 1 species
AAAGUCUCCGGCGACCCCAGCUGCAACCACACCCACUACUUCACCAUCAGCUGCAACCACACCCACCACUUCACCACCAGCUGCAGCUCCCACAAAGCCCAAGUCACCAUCUCCAGUCGCUUCCCCAAAAUCGGCUCCACCCGCUUCAACUCCGGUGUCGGCAACACCCAAGCCUGCGGCCGCGGCUCCAACUCCGGUGGCUACUCCUCCUACUGUUGCCGUUUCACCUCCAUUGCCAGCUCCAGUGAGCUCACCACCUUCUAAGGCUCCGGCCAGCUCUCCACCGGCUAAAUCUCCUCCGGCAGCCGCUCCGGCUCCAGUCGCUGAGCCACCGACUACACCUGAGGCUCCGACUCCAGCUCCUAGCAAGAAGAAGUCUAAGCACAAGUCUCCGGCGGCUGCUCCCACUCCAGCUUCGGACAGCCCACCCGCGCCUCCGGCUGAGGCUCCUGGAGCAGCGAGCCCCGGUGCUGAAACCCCUGCUCCUUCUGUAGCUGACGAUCAGGUAAUGCUGAGUUGGAUUUUAUUUGGUUCAUUUUUUGUUUUUGAAUUUUCGUCUAGUUUUAGAUCUAAUAUGCUCAGUGGGUGCAAUGCGCACCCAGAUCUGGAACUUUCAGUUCAAAAUCAACCCAAGUUAUUUACAAACAUUGAUUUAGUUACCUGGAUUCCACUCACUCUACUAAAACCCCGACCCUCAAGGUCUUUUCCUUACCGCUGAGAGCCUCUGUUCUCACUCAUCUAAACGCUGCGUUCAGUGAUGUUCGCGGUGCUUGCUCACUCGCGCUUUAGAGCGUGUAGUUGGCGCUAUACUUUGAAUCUCAUCCAGAUCUGUUGAUCUGGGAUCUGAGUGGUAGGUGGUGGGUUAUCCCGCCAUCGAUGGCCAACCGCCUACACAACAUUGUCACGCGCCACCGUCGGUGGUGGGUAAAUUUGGCUAGUAUGGCUAAUUUACUUAAUUGCCCCUCGCUAAUUUUACCCCUACCCACAGGCAUUGAGUCAGAGUGUGUCAUUAUUAUAUUCACAUGUGCUGCAUGAAUCAUGAUGGAAGUAAAUAAAUAGUUAUUGACCAAAAAAAAAAAAGUAAAUAAAUAGUUGUUGUUUAUUGGUAAAUAUUAAAUAGUAAAUAAAUCGA